CAGUCCAGAGAGUUGAUCCUGGCUCAGGAUAAACGCUGGCGGCGUGCAUAACACAUUCAAGUCGAACGAACUUAAGAGAGAAGCUUGUCUUUUUCUUAAGUUAGUGGCGGACGGGUGAGUAACGCGUGAGCAACCUGCCCUUGUGAGAGGAAUAACACACGGAAACGUGUGCUAAUACCACAUGAAGCAUUUUUUGUUGCAUAACAGAGAUGUUAAAGAAGCAAUUCGCACAAGGAUGGGCUCGCGUCUGAUUAGAUAGUUGGUGAGGUAACGGCUCACCAAGUCGACGAUCAGUAGCCGGACUGAGAGGUUGAACGGCCACAUUGGAACUGAGAUACGGUCCAGACUCCUACGGGAGGCAGCAGUGGGGAAUAUUGGGCAAUGGGCGAAAGCCUGAACCCCAGCGACGCCGCGUGAGGGAAGAAGGUCUUCGGAUUGUAAACCUUUGUAGACAGGGAAGAAGCAAGUGACGGUACCUGUAAAGUAAGCCACGGCUAACUACGUGCCAGCAGCAGC
rnacentral:rRNA from 1 species